rnacentral:lncRNA from 1 species
AAUGUCAGGCCUUAUAUCUCGGUCAUCUUUAAUGUGUUUUGUGUUAUAAAGGUUGAUAUGUGUAGCUUGUUAUGUGGUAUUUAACCUCCAAAAAGAAUCAAGUCUAUAUAUAUUACGGAUUAGGAGUUAUUUAAGGUCAAAGUGGGUUGACCGGCAUUGACCAGAAAAUUCUAGGCAGCCUAGAAUUUUCCAAGUGUUAAUUUUUCUGACAAGGUUUGACCAUACUUUAGAUGCUUGAUUUAUUGUUUUUAUGAUGAUAUUAAGUGUUAGAGUUGUAGUACUACAUGUUGUUUACACACUGGAAUUGAUAGAUCACAUAAAUGUUACACGGUCAUCAAGUUAUAGAGGUCCAAAGUAGGCACCUCGAAUUGUUCUUCGUGAAGAACAGCUUUGGUAGCUACUUUGAUGGCUGAUUUAUCCCAGAUCUGAUGUUUGUUUAGAGGUUAUGAUUAUUGGAGAUUGUAGUCUGGUAAUUCCUAUACAAGACCCAAUUUAUAGAUUGUCCAAAUUCAUUAAGAUGAGAGAGUUAUUCACGGUCAAAGUAGCCCACUCGGUUCUGCCUUGUGAAGAUCUGGGUAGGCUCAAGAACACCUAUAGCGACACUUCUGUCACUAUACGGGCCUUUAGCAACAGUUUUAAUUAUUUUAAUUUCUGAUUUUCCGAAAAAUGAUUUAAAAAUUAGAAAAAUUAGAUUUUAAUUAUUAAAAAUACCAAAUAAAUUAUGAAAAAUUAUUUUAAAGUCU